GUUGGGUACGGAGACAUGUGUCCCUCCACCAUCUGGGGGAAAUUCGUUGGAUCUCUGUGCGCCAUCGCCGGAGUGCUAACCAUAGCUUUACCAGUCCCUGUGAUAGUGUCAAAU
rfam:Larimichthys crocea isolate SSNF unplaced genomic scaffold scaffold220, whole genome shotgun sequence.